rnacentral:rRNA from 1 species
UGCAUAUCAAAUAAGCGGAGGAAAAGAAACCAACAGGGAUUGCCUUAGUAGCGGCGAGUGAAGCGGCAAUAGCUCAAAUUUGAAAUCUGGCGCCUUCGGUGUCCGAGUUGUAAUUUGAAGAAGGUAUCUUUGGUUUUGGCUCUUGUCUAUGUUUCUUGGAACAGGACGUCAUAGAGGGUGAGAAUCCCGUCUGAUGAGAUGCCCAAUUCCAUGUAAAGUUCCUUCGACGAGUCGAGUUGUUUGGGAAUGCAGCUCUAAGUGGGUGGUAAAUUCCAUCUAAAGCUAAAUAUUGGCGAGAGACCGAUAGCGAACAAGUACUGUGAAGGAAAGAUGAAAAGAACUUUGAAAAGAGAGUGAAAAAGUACGUGAAAUUGUUGAAAGGGAAGGGUUUAAGGUCAGACUUGGUUUACCAGGCCAGCAUCGGUUUAGAUGGCAGGAUAAUGGCGUAGGAAUGUGGCUUUGCUUCGGUAAAGUGUUAUAGCCUGCGUUGAUACUGCCUAUUUAGACCGAGGACUGCGUCUUUGACAAGGAUGCUGGCAUAAUGGCCUUAAGCCACCCGUCUUGAAACCACGGACCA